rnacentral:rRNA from 1 species
GAUGAACGCUGGCGGCGUGCCUAACACAUGCAAGUCGAACGGAAAGACGCCUAGGGGGGUCCUCGAGUGGCGAAGGGGGGCGUAAGACGUAGGAAUGCAUCCCUUGCCUAUGGGACAAGGAGAAGAACGUGGGGCCAAAGCCGGUAAGGAAUAAUAGAUGCAACGGGGGGGUUCAAAAGCUUCAGAGGCUUUGGGUGUUUGCUAGAGAUGGAGGCGGAUUAGCUAGGUGGUGGGGUAACGGCUUACCAAGGCGACGCUGCGUAGCCGAUCUGAGAGGAUGAUCGGCCACACUGGGACUGAGACACGGCCCAGACUCCUACGGGAGGCAGCAGUGGGGAAUUUUGGACAAUGGGCGAAAGCCUGAUCGAGCAACGCCGCGUGGGUGAAGAAGGUCUUCGGGUUGUAAAACUCUGUUAGUAGGGAAGAACAAUUGUAUAAGAAGCCAUGCCUGUGUUGACGGUACCUACAGAAUAAGCACCGGCUAACUACGUG